CCACAUCUUCCUCCACGCAGUCCUCAUUCGCCACAUCCGCCAGUGCACCGCUGGCCGUGCCGUCGUGGCCGCGCUCCAGUCUCACCUCCGUCGACCGCCUAUGCAGUGCCACCGGAGCGGUGUGCCCUCCUGGCUGUGCCGGCCGCACCCGCCUCCACCAGCCAGGUCGUCAGGCUGGCCUCGGCUGCCGCGGCCCGCCGGAGCCGCCCUCGCCCUGACCACCUCGCUGGGGUCUGCCAGCCCGGCCGCUGACCUGGCCUGGCCGGCGCCGUGGCGGAGGAGGAGCCACCGCCGCGUCGUGCUGCCCGCCGGCCAGCCGUGCUGAGCCGGGGGCGAGCGGACGGUCGCGCAAACGGCCGGCGACAGGGCAGCAAGGACGGCGGGGCGAGCACGGUGGCUAUCAGCCCCUCCUCUCUGAUCCAAAUCCAAGUAGCUCAUCUCCUCCACGCCAUCUCCCUCCUCUCUCUCCUGCACUCCCUCGUCACACAAGCACCAGGGGCUUGCUCACUCGACCCCCUCCUUGAUUUCUUUAUCGCAAGAACCAGCAGCUCAAUCUCCCAUUUCCUCAUCUGAUUUCUUCAAUAAAAUCACCACCGCAUCCCCUCGGCUCCUCGCCUCAGACUGCCAACAGCAACAAGGAGCUCCCUUCCGCUCCAUCCUUGCUCAAGCGCAGCAGCACGACGACAACGAGCACAAGCCCCGCGACCUCGACCCGGUGACCACGACACCCCCGCCAUGUUCAAGCUGCCAGUCCGCUACUGCUGCUGCUCGGGACGACGCCCAAGAUGCUGGCCACAAACACAUAGUGACGACCUACAAACUGAAGCCAAGUUGCUGCCUCCCUCGUCUCCAACCUGUUCGACGAAAUGCCCCGACCAUGCCGGUGUCUCUCGCCAAUGUCCUGACAAGCCAAACAGACGCUGCGACAUCCCAGUGAUCCCAACACCCACCUGAGAGCGGAGAAGAAAAGAAACAAAAAAGAUGGGCAUCAACUUUAUUUCGGAUCUACGGCCAGGUUUAUGCAGUAACACUAUAUGUGUUAGAGUCUCAAGAUUAUGGGAAUAUAGAGGAAAGAACGAUGAAGAUCAGAUCAAGCAUCUAGAUAUGGUACUUAUUGACGAAAAGGUACAUUGCUCUGUUGUUGGUCAUACCUGCUGCACCUACAGCCAAAACAGCUGACAAUCUCAUGCAAACAAAUGCAACAUCUCUUAUAUUAUGCACAUCAAUUCUUUUGUCUUCUAUCCGAUGUAAUAGCAGAUAUUGAUUUCACAGAGGCUUCAGUCCCUUCCAAUUCUAUACUUAACAAUGUGAAAGGAAAGAGCACAUUAAUCAGUUGAGCUCAUGGUUAAUGAACCCAGUGCAACUAAACAUGAUUGGUAACUCUGAAUAAUUAAGUACUGAAUUAUAAUUUUUUUGGAUCAGUUUGAUUGAAAGGCUGAGGUGCUGUCCUUGAUUAGUGAAGCAGUAGGUCACCUGAAGAUUGGGUGUGAUAUGCUUGGUUUGCUUCCAUUCACUUGGAAGAGGGUUAUUAUCAGCGUCCAUAGUGCUUUGAUACCUUCAAAUAGAAUAGUUCGAUCUUGAUGGCUAUGAAUCAGGCAAAGCACCAUGAUGUCGGCUGUCUCAUAGUUGUCAAGCCUCUCUGCAUGGAGUAGCUUUAUGGCAACUAUGAGCAAGUCAAAGAGGCAUAUGUUCAUUUGCAUGUUCAUGUUAUAUGCCUAGAAGGAACUACAACUUAGCUUGUUUCAGUAUCCUGCAUGUAUGUAGGAUGAGUUAUCUGGGUUAAUCAAGCACGCCAGCAAGUUAGCAAUGGUUAGCUUGUAACAGUAUCUAUAGCCUGAAGAAUUUGUUUAAUAUUUUCCAUAA